rnacentral:lncRNA from 1 species
GUCGUUCCACAGGGUCCCUGGAAAUGAAACCUGAAAGAGAAGAAGCAAAUACAGCAGUUUUGAACUACAGGGCUGGAGUCAUUCGUAUCUUCAGGGGUAUUUGGGGAACACGAGGAAGAUUAUGGAUACGACAAGAAAGUCUUGUUUUCAGUGGCUUUUUGAAUGAACAGACCAACUAAGCCCUGACUGCAUGGACUAGGAGGGCUUCCCUACCCGCCCUUGACAGCACAGCCAGGGAGAGCGCUGGACUUCCCUAACACACACGGUCAACUAUCGCUUCAAAGCAGUGACCUCUUCACACCCUAGAUAGGUAGAAAAUACGAAGAAAAAAACAUACAUAUCAUCCAUAAUCUUACCGCAAGAUAACCACUGUUAACAUUUUCAUGUAUGUCCUCUUAGGUUUUCUCUUAUAAAUAUUUGCUUAUAAACAUUCUUUACAGGGAUGGGAAGAGCAUGACCUGUUUUGUAAACCGGCUUUUCUCAUUUAACAAUCCAUCAUCAACAGUGGCACUAUACUCAACACUGGGAAGCAUUCUUUAAAUACUGGCUGAAUGAAUACGCACCACAAGAAAGUGCCUCUGCUUUUAAAGACGUGUCAAGAAAAAUUUGAAAUACGCAUACAAUCUGUCCAAUGAAUCCCACUUUUAGGAAAUGUGUCCUAAGGAAAUCAUUUGAAGAGCAUGCUAAGAUUUCUAUCUAAGGAUAUUCACGAUAUCAUUGAUUAAACUAUCAAAAUUUGAAAUAGCCCAAAUGUCUUACAGUAGAGAAUUAGCUAAAUAUAUCAUUCCUUAUCCAUAUAUAACACCAUACAGUCAAUUGAAAGAUGAUAUUGAUUUAGACAUAUUGAUAUGGAACAUGCUAAGUGAACUGCUGCGUGAACAAAGUAGUUUCAAAACAGAACAUAUGUCAUGAACUCAGUUUUGAAUUUUAAUUAAUACGUGUACAUCUGCAUAAGAAAAGGUUUAGACCAGAGGUGGGCAAACUUAUUCUGAAAAUGACCAUACAGUAAAUUUUUCAGGCUUUGCAGGCCAUUCAAUCUCUGUCACAAGUACUCAACUCUGCCACUUGUAGUUUGAAAGUAGUCAUAGACAGUGUGUGGAAGAAUGAGUGUGGCUGAGUUCCAAUAAAACUUUAUUUCCAAAAACAGGUAGCAGGCCCAAUGUGGCCCAAAGGCUGCUGUUUGCUCACUCCUGGGUCUAGAAGAAAACAUACUAAACUGCUAACGGUAACUAUUUCUGGAUAGCAGAACUAUGGGCGAUUUCUAAUUUCCUCUUUAUAAUGUGAUAAUUUUUGCAUGUUCUCAAUUAAAUUUAAUCAUAAGCAUGUAUUAUUUAAAAAACCAAUAGCAUGUUCUUUUCUUUGUUUUUGGUGGGGCUGGGGGAGGAGGCUUUGAGAUGCCCAAGACAUGCAUGGUUUCCUAUUUUAAUACAAAUUCUUAUUCAUUGUUUCUCAGUUUUUCUAUAGGAUACCACAAAGACCUCUCAACAUACAUUUGAAGGAAAGGAAGAAAUGGAGGGAGGAGAGAAGGCGGGAAGGAAAGAAGCAAGGGAGGGAGGAAGGAAAAGAGGAGAGGGGGAAGGAAAAAAUAACAAACUCCAGUCCUGUCCUGGGGUUAGGGAAGGGCAUG